rnacentral:lncRNA from 1 species
AAAAUACCGUUUUGCCAAUACCGACCCCUCCUCGGUCAACGCGCAAUCUCCGCAGAUCCGUCCGUCAGAUAUGCGGACGGAUAGCACCGGUGCGAUCAGCACGACGGAGACAACAAAGCUGCGAUUUCGUUUCACCACGAUCGACUACGGAUUCGCGACAAAAUCCAAUCUUUCUUUCCAAUAGAAGGAAUAACACAUAAAU